rnacentral:rRNA from 1 species
AACGAACGCUGGCGGCAUGCCUAACACAUGCAAGUCGAACGAGACCUUCGGGUCUAGUGGCGCACGGGUGCGUAACGCGUGGGAACCUGCCCUUAGGUUCGGAAUAACUCCCCGAAAGGGGUGCUAAUACCGGAUAAUGUCUUCGGACCAAAGAUUUAUCGCCUUUGGAUGGGCCCGCGUUGGAUUAGCUAGUUGGUAGGGUAAAAGCCUACCAAGGCGACGAUCCAUAGCUGGUCUGAGAGGAUGAUCAGCCACACUGGGACUGAGACACGGCCCAGACUCCUACGGGAGGCAGCAGUGGGGAUUAUUGGACAAUGGGCGAAAGCCUGAUCCAGCAAUGCCGCGUGAGUGAUGAAGGCCUUAGGGUUGUAAAGCUCUUUUACCCGGGAUGAUAAUGACAGUACCGGGAGAAUAAGCUCCGGCUAACUCCGUG